rnacentral:rRNA from 1 species
UACGUAGGGGGCAAGCGUUGUUCGGAAUUACUGGGCGUAAAGGGUGCGUAGGCGGCGCGGUAAGUCGGAUGUGAAAUCUCGGGGCUUAACUCCGAAACUGCAUUCGAUACUGCCGUGCUUGAGGACUGGAGAGGAGACUGGAAUUUACGGUGUAGCGGUGAAAUGCGUAGAUAUCGUAAGGAAGACCAGUGGCGAAGGCGGGUCUCUGGACAGUUCCUGACGCUGAGGCACGAAGGCCAGGGGAGCAAACGGG